AUUGAACGCUGGCGGCAUGCCUUACACAUGCAAGUCGAACGGUAACAGGUCUUCGGAUGCUGACGAGUGGCGAACGGGUGAGUAAUACAUCGGAACGUGCCUAGUAGUGGGGGAUAACUACUCGAAAGAGUGGCUAAUACCGCAUGAGAUCUACGGAUGAAAGCAGGGGAUCGCAAGACCUUGUGCUACUAGAGCGGCCGAUGGCAGAUUAGGUAGUUGGUGGGAUAAAAGCUUACCAAGCCGACGAUCUGUAGCUGGUCUGAGAGGACGAUCAGCCGCACUGGGGCUGAGACACGGCCCAGACUCCUACGGGAGGCAGCAGUGGGGAAUUUUGGACAAUGGGCGCAAGCCUGAUCCAGCAAUGCCGCGUGCAGGAUGAAGGCCUUCGGGUUGUAAACUACUUUUGUACGGAACGAAAAGCCCCGGGUUAAUACCCUGGGGUCAUGACGGUACCGUAAGAAUAAGCACCGGCUAACUACGUGCCAGCCGCCGCGGUAA
rnacentral:rRNA from 1 species